UGGGGAAUUUUGGACAAUGGGGGAAACCCUGAUCCAGCCAUCCCGCGUGUGCGAUGAAGGCCUUCGGGUUGUAAAGCACUUUUGGCAGGAAAGAAACGUCAUGGGUUAAUACCCCGUGAAACUGACGGUACCUGCAGAAUAAGCACCGGCUAACUACGUGCCAGCAGCCGCGGUAAUACGUAGGGUGCAAGCGUUAAUCGGAAUUACUGGGCGUAAAGCGUGCGCAGGCGGUUCGGAAAGAAAGAUGUGAAAUCCCAGAGCUCAACUUUGGAACUGCAUUUUUAACUACCGGGCUAGAGUGUGUCAGAGGGAGGUGGAAUUCCGCGUGUAGCAGUGAAAUGCGUAGGUAUGCUGAGGAACACCGAUGGCGAAGGCAGCCUCCUGGGAUAACACUGACGCUCAUGCACGAAAGCGUGGGGAGCAAACAGG
rnacentral:rRNA from 1 species